rnacentral:snoRNA from 1 species
GCUGGUGUAAAUGAUGACUCCCACUUUUUUCCCCAUCUUAUCGACAAUGCUGAUGUUUCAUAAUACUUGCCAGUUACUCCUGAUACACCAGC